GCACGCUCCGCACCUGGCAGCCGACGAGAUCGACAUCGAGGACGAACUCGCCGCCGACGAGCCUGAUGCCCACGCAGAGGACUAUCCGUCCACACUGUCGCUGCGUGACCUCGGGCCUCCGCUCGGCCGAAAGCGGUCAUGCCGAAGCCGGUGCAACCGGUUCCCUUGAACGGGCCAUCCGGUGCCGAGGCCUAUGCUCCGCCGAAUAUC
rnacentral:misc_RNA from 1 species